AUUUGAUAAGGCAUCUUAUUAAUAUUAAAGCUUCGGCACUUGAUGAUGGGUGUGCGGCUGAUUAGAUAGUUGGCGGGUAACGGCCCACCAAGUCUACGAUCAGUAGCUGAUGUGAGAGCAUGAUCAGCCACACGGGCACUGAGACACGGGCCCGACUCCUACGGGAGGCAGCAGGUAAGGAAUAUUGGAACAAUGGAACGAAAGUCUGAUCCAGCCAUGCCGCGUGAAGGAUUAAGGUCCUCUGGAUUGUAAACUUCUUUAUAUGGGACGAAAAAGGGCAUUCUUGUUCACUUGACGGUACCAUAUGAAUAAGCACCGGCUAACUCCGUG
rnacentral:rRNA from 1 species